AUACGGAGGAUGCAAGCGUUAUCCGGAUUUAUUGGGUUUAAAGGGUACGUAGGCGGUUUGCUAAGCGGGAGGUGAAAUGCCGGCGCUCAACGUCGGAAGUGCCUCCCGAACUGGUGGACUUGAAUGACUCUGCCGUGGGCGGCAUGUGUAGUGUAGCGGUGAAAUGCUUAGAGAUUACACAGAACACCGAUUGCGAAGGCAUCUCACGAAGGGUUGAUUGACGCUGAGGCACGAAAGCGUGGGGAUCAAACAGGAUUAGAUACCCUGGUAGUCCACGCAGUAAACGAUGAUGGCUAACCGCUGGGCUUAUCAGUUCAGUGGCCAAGCGAAAGCGAUAAGCCAUCCACCUGGGGAGUACGACCGCAAGGUUGAAACUCAAAUGAAUUGACGGGG
rnacentral:rRNA from 1 species